CAGUUGUGCUGAGAUGCAGCAGUGCCCGAUGAGAGGUGGAGGAGCUCUGCUGCAUGAAGGGCAGUGAUGGCUCUGCUGAUUUUCAUCCUGCUGAAGCCUUGGCCCAGGAAGGUGUGUAGCGGCUGAACGCAACCAAAUCCUCGUGGGAUCUUGGUAAACUGAGGACUUGCUGCAAAGGGUGGAAAGCAGGAGGUCAGGUAACCUCACAGCUUAUGACUUGCAGGGAAAUUGCUGCCAGAUGGGCUUGUCCUGACAUCAGAACAUUUUACAGCCACCUCCUGAGGGCUGCCAUCCUCCCUUGGUCAUUUUGGGUGUCGGGACACAGCAUUGGCUGGAGGGAGGACGGGACAAACAUUCUUCUGGCUCCAGGGGCCCCAAAUGGCUGUGGAGAAAAGAGAGACUGCUGCAAGCUGGUGGCGAGGCUGCAGAUGAAGGGCAGACAGGCUGGAUCCUGCAGGUGCUGCGUGGCAGGACACAGGAUAUCUGGCCUGAAAGGCACACACCUUGCAUGGAUAACCAGCACCACUGUUGCUCUGCACACCUCCAGCAGACAGCUAGAGGAGGGAGCUGGAAGUUUCAAAGCCAUCAAAGACAGCUGGAAGGUUCAAAGACAUGGACACCAUCCUUGCAAGGGCACAGACGAGCAGCUGAGGCCCUGCCAGCACGGACAGGACAGAAGGCAGAGCUGGAAUGAUGGGUGGUGUCAGACAGAUACAGCCUUCAGCUUGUAGGAAGCAGCCUGAACACUUGAUGCUUCAGCAUGAGAGGUGGACAACAAUAUCUGGAAGUCACAGGGCUGGACCAGCCAAGCACCUCACUGCAUCCUUAAGCCUUCCCACGAAGCUUCCAGGCAAACCGUGGAGCAAGUGGGAAACACUUCCUUGUCUGCCAAAAAGAGAAUUGUUAAAAAACAAACAAACUUGCUAAAAAGCCAAAAAAGAGCUCCUACA